AUGUGUUCUGGCCAAGACCCAAGAGACACCAGAGAGGCAAUAAUGCAGCCUUCUUUUGCUGGCCUCAUCCUUUCAGCACCAUGCUUGUUUCCUGAAAUCAUGUAUCUACCACACUGCAUGGGUGGAGCUAUCAUUUGCGUUAAUUGCACGAACUUUCAGUGUUAUUGUCUUGAGUUUUCACCUAACUACAUUCCUAACUCUGACGAUGCAAACGUGUGUGGAUCCAACAUUGAACACACUUUGCUCAAUAAUCAUAACCUGCACUCUGUUUCUCGACGACCUAGCAAACUAGCAACCGUAAGGUGCGUUUGUUAG
rnacentral:rRNA from 1 species